ensembl:lncRNA
CCGCCGGCCCCGCAGACCUCCCCACGCGCGGCUCGGGCCCCGGGCGCCGCGCGGGGUUGGCUCAGAGCCAAAGUCGCGUUCCCCGCUGCCCCCUCUCCCGGCUUCUGUCUUCUUGCUGGCCGGCCGCGGGGUCUCUGUAAGGCUCCGCCUGACUGCCCCGGGCUUCCCCUUGCUGCGGGGAGGACGGCGGCGCUUCCGGGAGGGCCGUGACCGCGGGGCGGGCCUGGCGCCCGGGGCCGCGGCUUCUCCCCCGCCGGCGCGCACCGCCCACUUGCGGGAGCCUUUCCUCCGGCUGCCGCGCCCUCGCCGCGCGCCUUCCAGGGCCGGUUCUCCCCAUCCCGGCUGCGUCAGGCUUUAUCGAAAAUGCGUCUUUGCUCGCCUCUCCUGCCUACGGAGUGGGCCGUGCGCUCCACGCUCUAUGAAGUCAUUACUCCCAGUCGUUACUAAGCUGCUCCCCCUGUGGCCCUAUGAAAGAUUCUCUCUGGGCCGGAGGCCCUGUUACCCUCAUUUUUGUGACCUGGAACGUGCAGAGGCUCCAUACACCCCGGGGAGACGGAGGGGAGAGAGUGAUCCCGCCUCCCACCCUUUUGGGGGACCUCACGAGUAUCCUCUGUUUGCUGUUUCAUUAUGCAAAACGCGGUCUCGUUUCGACAAGCUCGAUAGAAGCUUUCACGUUUUCAGGUUGCUGUAGAUCCGUUAACUCCUUGGGCUUCUGAAGGGAAGCCCACCCUGCGAGUUGGCUUUGGUCCGGGUCUAGCAUGUCACCCUAUUAAGGCUCAGCGAGCGCAAUGCCAAAGGCCAGAUGGCUCCAGCCCAGACUUGACCCUGGGGCUCGGUGCCGCCAGCCCAGCUCUGGAGGUGGCCUGUGUCCCCAUCUCCUACGCCUGCCACAUGGUUCUCAACCAAAAUCUCAGGAAAAUGGUAAAAGAGGGAAGAGGUGGAUGCCCAGCUUCUAUUUAAUUCUCUUCCAGAUUCUUCCUGGGCCCUGCCUGGCACAAGAGGUAUUGCUUAAGAAGGAGGCUCAUUUAAUGGAUGUUCAGUUACAUCCAAUGUUUGCCGGAGAAUAUUCCAGAGGGCAGAUGCCUGAAUCAUCAUGCAGCCAAUGCAGGCCAGAAGGACGGAUAAUAGUGAAACGGCACUGGACUGGGCCUCUGGGUCAAGUUCCCUUCUCGGUUAUGCCAACAAGGCUAUUAUACUCUGUACUCUCAAUGAGAGCAGUACUCUCUGGGCCUGAUUUUGCCCCCAGAAAAAUGAGUCCAGGAAGCCUUCCUAGAAGUGGAGUGUUCUGAGUGGAAUUCCAGCAGAUGAGAUAAAUGUAGGACAUCUGUCAACCAAAAGCAAGAAGACAGCCAUCCUAGCCAUGAGAUGUAGAAUGUUUUUCUCCACGUGUGGGGGAGGCCUGUGUGCUUGGGUGCGUGAGUUGGCAUUUCAGCCUUAGUAACGAUGUGACAGUCUAUGUGUUACUUCACCUUCUUGAGCCUCAGUUGUCUUUUCUGUAAAAUAGAGCCAUUGAUACCAUGAUGGGUUGCUGUGAAUAUGGGGAGGGUGGGGGAUUGAUUUCUCAUCAAACCUCACAGUGCAGUUCCAGUGAGCCAGGAGUCCAGCACAUAGUAGCUGAUCCUUUAUAUCAGUUUCUCCUGAAGAAUCCCGUGAAGGCCUCUUUCCACUCCUCACUCUGACAUUUCACAAUUACAGAGUCUCUUCUGGCAUUUCCUCAGCCUUUGAAAUGUCUGCAGUAGCUGUAGUCUGCCCUUCGCCUGUGCCAUAUUUGAUAAACACACAUACUUGCGCCAUGUGCCUUCUGCCUCAAAGUAUAAACACUUCUACAUUAUUCAUCGAAAGUAUCAUCUCGCAAGAUCAGCCAUAAAAAGUUCUUCACAUUCAUUCACACAAACAGGUUUUUGAACCCUUUCCAGAAAUAGAAAUUGCAGAAGCAGAGGCACAGGCGUGUUAUUGUUUGUAGGCCUUUAAAUAUUGCCUCACAAAAACCACUUUUCAUCUUGUUCUCCAAGGGAUUAACUUCUGAGCAGUGGGGAUUAACUGAUGUCAGGUUAGAAAAGCAGUCAACACCAGGGUCGACCAGCCUGACAAGAUUAGUCCCCAAAUAAAGAAUUUACAAUCUGUUUUAAGACUCUGUAA